rnacentral:misc_RNA from 1 species
GCGCAUUAGUGCGGCUAACCGUCGUGGAUCCGUCUUUUCAUGUCCCUCCCUUCGGGUUGCGCUCCUCCUGCGGGAGGAUGCCUGCUGUUGGUUGCCUGUGCGGCUCUACCGUCCUGAGGGAACUUAACUACUCGUCUCGAGAUGGGAAGUGCUUUUGCUAGCGCAUCGGGUGUUGUGCUGUCCGAUAAACGGCAGCAGAAGCGGUUGAGGCGGAUCCUCGUGCGGCUGUGGGAUGACCCCACACCGCUGGAGGAUGCCGCCCGCUCUCAUGGAUGCCGUGUGCACUGGGGAUUUGCGGGCCCUGGCCCGCAUUUCGCCCCAAGGAGGUCUCGUUUGCUGGGGCCGAUUCGUGCCGCUGCUCGGCUCUCCAGCGGGUCGUCUCCGGACGUUGCGUUGCGGGAGAGUUGCUAGCGGGGCGUUUUGCGGCGCAUGCGAGUUUUGCCUCUGUUGGCAUAAGCGGCCGCCGCUCCACGUCGUGAGGGCGACCCGCCGUCCGCGGGGGGUUGCCGAAAUGAUGUGUCGGCUCUUGCUUAGGACGUGCUACCUGG